AAUAAUUAUGGUUUAAAAAUUUUAUUAUAAAUUUAUUUUACAUAUAAAUUUUAGUAUAUAUUUUUAAUUAUUUUAAUAAUAUUUAAUUAAAAUUUGAUAGUAAUUAAUAUUAAAAAUUUAAGAAAUUAAGAUUUAGUAAUAUUAAAAUUAAUAACAAAUUUUGUGCCAGCAGUUGCGGUUAAACAAAAAUUAAAUUAAAAUAUAUUAGUAAUUAAUAAAUAAUUAAAUUAAAAUUUAAAUAUUAAAUUGUUAGGUGAAAUUUUAAUUUAAUUAAAAAUUUAUUUAAAAAUUAUUAUGAAUUAAUAAAUUAAAGAAUAGACUAGGAUUAGAUACCCUAUUAUUAUUAAAUUAAAAGAUAUAUGCUAAAAUAGUAAAUAAUUUUAAUUGAAACUUAAAUAAGAUGGCGGUAUUUUAGUUCAUUUAGAGGAAUCUGUUUGGUAAUUGAUAAUCCACGAAUAAGAUUUACUUAAUUUAAAAUUUUGUAUAUCGUUGUUACAAAAAUAUUUUUAUAUAAAAAUAAUAUUUAAAAAUUAUAAUUAAAAAUUAAAUCAGAUCAAGAUGCAGAUUAUAAUUAAGAUAAAAUGGAUUACAAUAAAUAUAUUUAAAUGAAGAUUAAUUUGAAAAAUAUAAUUAAAAGUGGAUUUAAAUGUAAUUUUAUUUAAUUUAAUAAAAUGAUUAUAAAUUAAAAUAUGUACAUAUUGCCCGUCGCUUUCAUAAAUAAAUUGAAAUAAGUCGUAACAAAGUAGAAGUACUGGAAAGUGUUUCUAGAAAGAAU
rnacentral:ncRNA from 1 species